CCAGCCACCCAGCCGGAAUAAACCCGAGAUCCCCGCGAACCUGGCGACACUGCACACGCCACAGCAUUUCCACCAGCUUACAAGUAGGUAGAAACACUCCGCUUCUGUAGGCCCAAACAGUCAGAUAUCGGCAAUUUCGGUUGGUUUCGGCUGGUUUCAACCCAAGAUCUGCACAGAAUAUAUGGGAAAUCCGUGGCCAGACAAGCACUCUUCUCUGCAGUACACUCUCCCGGUUAACCGUGAGAACGCUAGAUUUUUAUACAGUAAAAACAUUCUCCCUACUUCGUUCAAUAACUAUUUAUCGGGCGUCAACUACCUUAUUUCCUCAAUUGUAACUCACUUCCCCAUUUUUACCGCACCUUGUUUUAAACUCCCCCUUCUCCCUUCGAGAAGACUUCGCAGUGAGAGUAGUAAACACACAUAACCAUAUUAAACUCCUGCUUCAACCUUCAAAUUGAGAUUUUAUUCUCUUCCCACUCUAGGAAAGCCAUCUUAAACGGCCUUAUUAAACAGAGUAGCUUGUUUUGUUUUUAAACAAGCAUUACCCUUGCCCCAAUAAAGUCCAGGGCCUCAGAUUUGCAUUGCGUCAGCUCAGGCAUUCAGAGGUUUAACCUGUCAUUACCCCAUGCUUUGGGCAGCCUUUAAAGGCAGCAAGAGCUGGUAGUGGGGAGUAAACCCUAUGCUGCACACUGUAGAUUGCCCAUUUUCAGCAUAAAAUCUUAACUCUAAUCACUUACCCACCCUAUAUAGUGUGUUCAGUCACCUCAACCUCAUUUUGAUAUUAGGAAAUCAUUAGGAAUAGAAAUAUAAUUGAAAAUAGUCUGUUCACUGACAAAUAUAAAUUACUAUUACCUAGGUUUUUAUUUUCUAAUACAUAUUCAUUCUAUUCAACAGUUAAGUCUCAGGUUUCUACAGCAGGAGACUUCAAAUGUUUUAGGCAGGAAAACUCUUUCCAAACAGAAUUAAGACAAAGUCUAAAUGUGUAAAACAAAUAAAAGGGAUGACAGAUUUCUCAAGCCAAAGAAAAAUUUUUUCCCAAACUUCCAAAGGACCUAUACAGAUCCUUACAACACUAUCUGAAAGCCAUUAAUAUAUGGACAAACCUCGCAACAAGUGAGUCAGGACAGUAAAAAUGUGAGUGUUCUGGAGCCAUCUACACUUGGAUUCAAACCCAGUCUUCACCACCCGCUCAGCUGUAAAACUGGGACAAUAUUUCCAGCCUUGCAUGGCUUUUGUCUGGAUUAAGGGAGACGGGUAACCUUUUUUACCCUGACAGGUAGCUUCUAAGACUCUUAUCUUUGGAAGAAAUUUUCAUCAAAACAUCUAGAUACAUGCCAUCAGCACUUGCCAAACACGAGGAGCAAAAGGCAACACAAUGAAGAGAAGACAGUCUUCAACAAUUGGUGCUGGAACAGCUGAGUAUCCACAUGCAAAAAAAAAAGGAAUCUAGACACAAAUCUUACACCUUUCACAAAAAUUAACUCAAAUGGAUCACAGAUCUAAACGUAAAAUACAAAACUAUAAAACUCCUAGAAGAUAACAACACAGGAGAAGAUCUAGAUGACCUUGGGUUUGGCAAUGACUUUUCAGAAACACCAAAGGCAUGAACCAGGAAAGAAUCAAUUGAUAAGCUGGACUUGAUUAAAAGUAAAAAUGUCUGCUCUGCAACAGUCAGGAGAAUGCGAAGACAAACCACAGAUUGGGAGAAAAUGUUUGCAAAAGACAUAUCUGAUAAAGGACUAUAUUAUCCAAAAUACAGCACAGAAAUCUUAAAACUCAACAAGAAAGCGAACAUGCCAAUUAAAAAACGGGCAAAAGACCUUAACAGACACCUCAACUUAUCAGAUAUACAGAUGGCAAAGGAGCAUAUGAAAAGGUGCUCCACAUCAUUUGUCAUCAGGGAAAUACAAAUUAAAACAAAAAUAAGGUAUCACCACACACCUCUUAGAAUGGCAAAAUUCAGAACAUUGACAACAGCAAAUGCUGGUGGGCAUGUGGAGCAACAGGAACUCUCAUUCAUUGCUGGUGGAAAUGCAAAAUGGUACAGACACUUGGAAGACAGUUUGGCAGUUUAUUCAAAACUAAACGUAUUCUUACCAUAAGAUCCAGCAAUCAUGCUCCCCGGUAUUUACCCAAAGGAGCUGGAAACUUAUGUCCACACAAAAACCUGCACAUAGAUGUUUACAGCAGCUUUAUUCAUAAUUCCCAAGACGUGGCAGCAACUAAGAUGUCUUCCUAUAGUGAAGAGGUAAACUGUGAUACAUUCAUACAAUGGAAUAUAAUUCAGAAAUUUAAAAAAAUGAGCUAUCAAGCCACAAAAACAUAUGAAGCAAACAAAUAUAUACUGC